rfam:Myotis davidii contig1165, whole genome shotgun sequence.
GGCGGUUCUCAGGUGACACAUCCUGGAAUCGGGCUCCCUCCUCUCUGGUUCCGG